AUGAGUGGCGAUGAGCUGUGUGUACCUGGCAGGUGUGAUCCGGGUGCAGCGGGUUGUGGGUGCCUGCCUGGGCUUUUCCCCGAGCCAGGAACUCCACCUCCCACCCUCCGCUUCGUCCCCCUCUCCCUCCAAAGUUUGGCGCGCGCGCCUGGACGCGGAAGGCGGGGGGCUCCCGGCUGGGCGGCCUCCCCCGGGCCGGGCGGCGGUUCCAGGACGCCCGCGCCGCACUUACCCCAGCUGCCGAGGCUCCACCGGCGCUGGCGGCCCCGACCCUCCACGGCUGGGGUCCGGCGCGGGCAGCAUCCGCUCGCAACUUUGCCUUCCUCUUGGAAGAUCCCGACAGAAGCGGUUCCGUGGCCCCCGCGCCCGCGCGGCCCGGGCUGUGCGCCCUCUCCGGGGCAGGCGGGAGGGAUGCAGGCGCGGCCGGGCCGGUCCGCACGCUGGAAGGGAAGCGGCGCCAGGAGGGCGCCGUCCUGCGCAGCGAGCCCGCGAGAAGUCCUGCCUGGCGCCCUCCCCGCUCCGGCCCGAGCCGGCGAGCGGCAGCGGAUUCCUGAACCGCGUCCAAGGCGUCCGGGAGCCCUCCUCCUCUUCUUCCUCACCCCACCCAGCUCCCACCCCUGCGCGCCCGGCAACUUGGGAACCGUUGGCGAAGUUGGCGCUGCUCUGGCCGCGCGCCGGCCGGGCCUCUGCGGGAGGAAGGGGAGGAGGAGGAGCUGGCGGGAGAGGAGGGGAGAGAGGGGAGCCGCCCCCGGGGAGCCGCUCUUUCCAGGACCCCUCUGCGGGCCUUUGUUCCGGGCGCUGCCCCUAGGCCCUCCAGUCCCCGGGGACUCGCUUGGGGCCGCUCAAGUAUCCACGCUCUCCUGGCGAGGCUGGUGGGUGGAGGCUGCUUGGAGAACCUCCUUGGCGUCUCAGUGCCGGAGCCCCCGGGCCUUUACCGCCCCCCCUCUCCCCCGACCUUUGCCAGGGAGACCCUCUGGCUGCAGGGGUUCUCCGUCAUCUCUGCCUGGAGAGGAUCUUCCCGCUGCCGCCUGGGGCAAGGGGGCUGGAGGACGGUCUCCCUGA
rnacentral:lncRNA from 1 species